CCCAAGGGUAUGGCUGUUCGCCAUUUAAAGAGGUACGUGAGCUGGGUUUAAAACGUCGUGAGACAGUUUGGUCCCUAUCUUCCGUGGGCGCUGCAGAUUUGAGGAAGCCUGCUCCUAGUACGAGAGGACCGGAGUGGACGAACCUCUGGUGUAUCGGUUGUCACGCCAGUGGCAUUGCCGAGUAGCUAAGUUCGGAAGAGAUAACCGCUGAAAGCAUCUAAGCGGGAAACUCGUUUCAAGAUGAGAUCUGCCGGGGCCUUGAGCCCCCUAAAGAGUCGUUCAAGACCAGGACGUUGAUAGGUCAGGUGUGGAAGCGCAGUAAUGCGUUAAGCUAACUGAUACUAAUUGCUCGUGCGACUUGACCCU
rnacentral:rRNA from 1 species